rnacentral:rRNA from 1 species
UACGUAGGGUGCAAGCGUUGUCCGGAAUUAUUGGGCGUAAAGAGCUCGUAGGUGGCCUGUCGCGUCGGCUGUGAAAACUCGGGGGCUCAACUCCGAGCUUGCAGUCGAUACGGGGCAGGCUAGAGUUCGGCAGGGGGAGACUGGAAUUCCUGGUGUAGCGGUGAAAUGCGCAGAUAUCAGGAGGAACACCGAUGGCGAAGGCAGAUCUCUGGGCCAUUACUGACGUGAGGAGCGAAAGCGUGGGGAGCGAACAGG